AACAAUUUAUGCCAACCCUAAUCUUGAUGGUUUUGGCUCCAAACUGUUCUGGCCGUUAGAUGCAUUUGUGUUGAUCUCCACACAACCCAUCUAUUCCCAAUAAACAAAGUCUUUCAAUUUCAACUCACAACUGCAUUGGUGAUCUCGGCGCCACCUUCCUCCGAUAGCAUCACCUCCUUCUUCCGGCAGCGUCAUAUGCAUCUAUUCUAACAUCUUCUCUCCUUCAAUUUUACCUCCAUUCGGUUUUCUCUCAAAACCCUAACUCGAUUCAGUGAAUCACCUACCUCGAUUUGGUUUGCUCUGAUCGAUCACCGUUCAUCGUGGUUUGUCUCACCGAUUUCGAAACUUCGUCCUCCGUCCCUGUCAAAGGCUGCUGAGAAUGAUGAUAACUUUUCAAGUCAAAGCCCCUACACAUGCAUAACAAGGCUUUGAAGUAAUAUACGGAUUGCAUGAUUCGCCCAAUGGCUGAUUUUUAUCCAGCAGAAAUUGUCACAGAGUGACCGACUCUUACAAGGAUGUUCUUCUUUUGCGGCAGAAAUUCAGGUUCCAGUAGAGGAAAAGAGACUAGCUAAGGAGGGAUACAUAACAUAGUAGUAAAAUUGCUUUUGCCAUUAACAACUUUGAGCCAGAUCUUUCAAAACAUAACAUCCGGAGAUCUUUUCAUGCUAAUAUGAAUGCCAACAAGUUUACUCUUUAGCUGGCGAUCUUUUCAUGAAAAAAGGUUUAGCGUUUGGGCAAUGGAAUUAGCAUUGGAAGUGAAUCAUUAAAAGACAUAUCAUCCGGAGAUCUUAAAAGAUCAACCUUUUAUAGAUGGCCAAGGUUUACUUUUUCAAGACCAUUGUUUGGUUGUUUUUGUGGACAGAACCAUACUGAAAUGUUUCUGAUUUAUUGCUUGGAAUCAAUAACUAAAUAAAAGCUUUUUGAAUUUUACUAGGGGUGUUUCGUUAAUUGGUGUUUGAGAUUCAAAACACACUUGAGACUGUUUUUUCUAAUGUAGUGUAAUUUUAGGA